rnacentral:lncRNA from 1 species
AAUAACUAUUUAGCUAUUGACCAAUUAUUAUGACAUCAUUUGAAGCUAGCUGAUUCAAUAUGGACAGUGAAACUCAUGAACUGCUUUAUUUAUUGGUGACUUCAUUCAUAAAAUUUUUGAAUGUCAUGAUUUUGAAAUCACAAAAUUUAAAGAAACUGUAUGAAUGUGUGGCAUACAUCAUUUCAGAGAACAACAUAGUUUCAAUAACUAACUCAUAUCCCCAUUGGACAAAUAGUCAAUGUACUCUUAACUUUACUCAGCAUAGAAAGUUGAACAAGAAUUAACUUCAGUGUAAAGACACAUCAUCUAGCCAUAUGGCAGAAGUAGCAUCAUUAGCCUCAAUACACUAACAUAUUUACAUUGCAUUUUAUGACUUUGAGAUCCAAUCUUUAGUAGACUUUUAUUUUUUACUAUUAACAAAAAACCAAUACAAAAUUGAAAAUGGUAUAAAUCGAAACACUUAAAGGUAUGAUUGUUUAGUAGCUCUAGGCAAAAAAUAACUAAGGUAAUAUGAUGUAUAAUGUUUGUUAUUUAUA